GACGAACGCUGGCGGCGUGCUUAACACAUGCAAGUCGAGCGGUAAGGCCCUUUCGGGGGUACACGAGCGGCGAACGGGUGAGUAACACGUGGGUGACCUGCCCUUAGCUCUGGGAUAAGCCUGGGAAACUGGGUCUAAUACCGGAUAGUGACUCCGAUAAACGCAUGUUGUGGGGGUGGAAAGCCUUGUGCGGCUAGGGAUGGGGCCCGCGGCCUAUCAGCUUGGUUGGUGGGGU
rnacentral:rRNA from 1 species